AACAUCUAAGUAACCGCAGGAAAAGAAAUCAACCGAGAUUCCCAAAGUAGUGGCGAGCGAAAUGGGAUGAGCCUUGUACUCUUUAUUUGUAUUGUUAGCCGAACGCUCUGGAAAGUGCGGCCAUAGCAGGUGAUAGCCCUGUAGGCGAAAACAGUAUGAAAGAACUAAGUGUACGACAAGUAGGGCGGGACACGUGAAAUCCUGUCUGAAGAUGGGGGGACCAUCCUCCAAGGCUAAAUACUCGUGAUCGACCGAUAGUGAACCAGUACCGUGAGGGAAAGGCGAAAAGAACCCCGGGAGGGGAGUGAAAUAGAUCCUGAAACCGCAUGCAUACAAACAGUCGGAGCCUCGUAAGGGGUGACGGCGUACCUUUUGUAUAAUGGGUCAGCGACUUACGUUCAGUAGCAAGCUUAACCGUAUAGGGCAGGCGUAGCGAAAGCGAGUCCGAAUAGGGCGUUCAGUUGCUGGGCGUAGACCCGAAACCAAGUGAUCUAUCCAUGGCCAGGAUGAAGGUGCGGUAACACGUACUGGAGGUCCGAACCCACUAACGUUGAAAAGUUAGGGGAUGAGCUGUGGAUAGGGGUGAAAGGCUAAACAAACUUGGAAAUAGCUGGUUCUCUCCGAAAACUAUUUAGGUAGUGCCUCGUGUCUCACCUUCGGGGGUAGAGCACUGUCAUGGUUGGGGGGUCUAUUGCAGAUUACCCCGCCAUAGCAAACUCCGAAUACCGAAGAGUGCAAUCACGGGAGACAGACAUCGGGUGCUAACGUCCGGUGUCAAGAGGGAAACAACCCAGACCGCCAGCUAAGGUCCCCAAAUAUAGCUAAGUGGGAAACGAAGUGGGAAGGCUAAAACAGUCAGGAGGUUGGCUUAGAAGCAGCCACCCUUUAAAGAAAGCGUAAUAGCUCACUGAUCGAGUCGUCCUGCGCGGAAGAUGUAACGGGGCUAAGCUA
rnacentral:rRNA from 1 species